rnacentral:rRNA from 1 species
UACGUAGGGUCCAAGCGCUAUCCGGAAUUACUGGGCGUAAAGCGUACGUAGGCGGAUAUUUAAGUGCGAUACGAAAUCUGGCGGCUCAACCGUACAGACUGUAUCGCAUACUGGAUGUCUAGAGAAUGGCAGAGGCAAGUGGAAUUACUGGUGUAGCAGUGAAAUGCGUAGAUAUCAGUAGGAACACCAAUGGCGAAGGCAGCUUGCUGGGCCAUUUCUGACGCUAAGGUACGAAAGCGUGGGGAGCGAA